GCUAAUGGUGACAAGUUCAUCCUUGAUGUGAUAUGUUUGUGAUGUGAUGCAUUCCAUGAUGGCAUACUUGUAAAUGAACUGUUCUGCUAGUGUGGUUUCCGCUCACUGGGCUUUAUAGCUCACCCCUCUCCCCUAACCCCAGGUUUGCAGGGUCAGAGAUAGUCAGAAGAUCAGCAGGUUAUGUCUAUGGUCAGAUUCAUGUAAUAGAUUAGUAGUGGAC
rnacentral:lncRNA from 1 species